UGGCAGAGGAGAGUCUUUAUUUCCUGUGGGGGAGGUGGGCGUGGGAGGCGAGGGGGCAACGAGCAACCCCUGAGCUUCUGAUGAGAGCCGACCUCGAGGCUGACGGGGAGGCCAGAAGGUCCCGAGGGGGCUGCAAGCGACAGGCCUGGCGUCCAGGCUGCACGGUGGGAAGACGGAGGUGUGGAGAAGCUGCUGGAAACAGAGGCGGAACUGCUGAGCGCCCUGGGAGGUCCGGGGGUGCGGCUAAGACAGCGGCGGGAGGGCAGGCGGCGGGGGUCACACGGAGAAGCCUGGCGCAGACUGGCCCAGAGGAAGCCCUGGCUUGAGUGAAAGAGGCUGGGCCCGGCAUGGUCAAGGCGAGGGAGGAAAUGACCUGGAAGUCACCAGGACUGAGCCAGGACCUACAGGCAGCAAGGACGGCAGAGGGAGCAGGGCUGUAAACUGAAAUGCCCAGCACCUGAAGGCACUGAUGGAGGGGGACACGGAUUACCUUCCUGAAGAAGACUGUCUCACAUUCCUUUUGCCAAAAAAAAAAAAAAAAAAGUCAUUUAGGAAAAACAAACAUCAUUAGCAGAGGUGGCUUCACCGUGGUUUAGAUUCCUCAUUCCCAGGCCCUGGGAGAAGGCCUGGGACAAAGGGCAUACUCUUUUGCUAAUUUCAACUCUUGUUUUAGAUACAGGGUGUACAUGUGCAGAUUUGUUAUGUGAGAAUACUGCGUGAUCUGAGGUUUGGAGUACGGAUCCCAUCACGCAGGAGUCCAUGGUGUCUAUUGCUCCCAUCUUUGUGUCCAUGUGUGCUCAAUGCUUAGCUCCCACAGGUAAGUGAGAACAUGUGAUAUUUGGUUUUCUGUUCCUGCAUUAAUUUGCUUAG
rnacentral:lncRNA from 10 species